GUGUACUUGAAGAAUGGAUGAUGAUGAUUUUGGUGGUUUUGAGCUUCCAUGGCAGAUUGUCUCAAUUGACUGCUUUUUGGCUGACAACUCAAUGCGGAAUCCAAAUUGAAAUUCUGGCUCCUUUUCUCAGUAAUAAUUUUGCUGUGACCUGGACACUUAAGGGAGAGAAAACUCUUCACUCUUACCCACAAACUCAGCAUUCAGCUGCAGAGAUUUUUGAUGGUGGAAAUGGCGAAACCCAAACUACGUCUCCUGCUAUUCCUUGGGCUGCUUUUCCUACAGUAUCUGGAGUCCAUCUUUCUCCAGCUUCUCCUGAGAUUAUACUGGACCAUGACCACUCUUCUCCUUCAGUUGGCUGCCUGUCUUCGGAACCCAUCAUUUCAUCACCAGAGAAUACACACACAGAUGACAGCAUUGUCAGUCAAACUGUUCCUAAAGCACAGAUUCAGCAAUCAACACACACUCAUCUGGAUAUCUCACUUUUUCCAUUGGGUUUAAAUGAUGAGAAAAGUAAUGGAACAAUUGCUCUGGUGGAUGAUUCUGAGGAUCUUGGAGUCAAUGUAUCAAACAUACAGCUUCAGCAGAAAAUUUCAAGUCUGGAGAUUAAACUCAAAGUUUCUGAAGAAGAAAAACAGAGGAUUAAAAAGGAUGUGGAAUCAUUGAUGGAAAAGCAUAGUGUCUUAGAAAAAGAUUUCCUUAAAGAAAAAGAGCAAGAGGCCAUUUCUUUUCAAGAUAGAUACAAAGAACUUCAGGACAAGCAUAAACAAGAAUUGGAAGACAUGAGGAAAGCUGGUCAUGAAGCUCUCAGCAUUAUUGUGGAUGAAUAUAAGGCACUACUGCAGUCUUCAGUUAAGCAACAAGUAGAAGCUAUUGAAAAACAGUACAUUUCUGCAAUUGAGAAACAAGCACACAAGUGUGAAGAGUUGUUAAAUACUCAGCAUCAGAGGCUCCUUGAAAUGCUAGAUACAGAGAAGGAACUGUUAAAAGAAAAGAUAAAGGAAGCUUUGAUUCAACAGUCUCAAGAACAGAAGGUAAUAUUGGAAAAAUGUUUGGAGGAAGAAAGGCAAAGAAAUAAAGAGGCUUUAUUAUCUGCUGCAAAGCUUGAGAAAGAAGCAAUGAAGGAUGCAGUUUUAAAAGCCAUAGAAGAAGAAAGAAAAAAUAUGGAAAAAGCCCAUGCUGAAGAAAGGGAGUUAUGGAAGACUGAACAUGCAAAAGAUCAAGAGGAAGUAUCUCAGGCAAUUCAGAAAGCAAUACAAGAACAGAGAAAAAUAAGUCAGGAAACUGUUAAGGCAGCAAUAAUAGAAGAGCAGAAGCGAAGUGAAAAGGCUGUGGAAGAGGCAGUGAAAAGAACAAGAGAUGAAUUGAUAGAGUAUGUAAAAGAACAGAAAAGAGGCUACUGAGGUCCUUACUUAGGAGAUUCCAAAAAGAGAUAUGACCGCCAGCGUUUCUUCAGUCCUCUCUGACAAAGAAGACGAUGCAUCUUCAUGGUGAUCUCAGCGCUUCUGAUGCCAUUUGGAAAUUCGGAAACGGCUCAAUUAUAUCUGUGAGCCAUAACUUAAUCAUCUCUGAAGCUGUUUCCAGGAGGACAUUUUAAAUUUCUGUUAUGAUUAUCAGUUGCAUAUACAAGAAAUAACCUAAGUUUCUGCAGAUACAAAGAUGAAGACACCAUCGAUGCUUUGGAAUAGCUUGGAGCUUAGUCAAUACGGUGCUCAUGCGAACAAGAUGAAAACCCAGCAGGCUAACCACUAAAGGGCAGAGUGUACUGUGCACGCAGGGGCUCUGGAAUUUGGGAAAGGCCUCCCAGCAGAAGAGGAGCCUCAGCUGAGCCUCUAAGGAUGGUUGAAUGCAAGUUAAUCAGGUGAGAAACAGGGAAUGGCAUUUCAGGAGGCAGGAAUGGUACCUUGCAAAGGUACAAAAGAGGGAGAGAUUAGGACAGUGGCAUAAGGAGAGCAAGUAGUGCCAGGGUCAAAGCAGUACAUUGUAUCCUCUGGCUACCUAAGAGUUUUCCUGGAAAAUGAACAAAGGCAUGGCGAAGCUCAGGUGCUUUCCUGCAUUUGACAUUCAACAAACCUAGAGACACCAACUCAGAGCAAAAGGAAAUGACACACCCUGACUGGUUUCUUUGUGAUACCCCAAGACAAGCGCCAAGGGACUUAGAGAUUAUUGUCUCUGGAACAGUCAGGGCUGCUCAUGUGUGUGUGACCUGCAGCCACACAGCGCUCUGUGCUCAGAAGCCUUUGGACUUGGGCGAAUCUCUGCAAGUGCUGUCUUGAAAUUCUUUAAUACAUCUUGAUCAGAGGGCCCUUCAUUUUCAUCUUUCACUGGGUCCCCCAAAUAAUGUAGCUGAUCCUGAGAAUAGGUCAUUUUCAAAGAAUUUAAAAUAGUUCAGUACUGUCAUAUACAAAGUGGAAGGAGGGCAAGGUGGCUGAGGAGGUUGAGAAGGUAGGCAGUGGCAUAUAUGGAAAAGCCUGGAAGCCUUGCCUUUAAAAUUUGCCUGUGGGAGAAGGAUAGUCAUUGAGGACUUUGAACAAGAAAGUAAUGCGAAGAGAUUUGACUUUUAGAUCACUCUAGUGUAAUGUAGGUGAUGGAGUGGAAAUGUAACAGUUUUUCCCAUAUAAAAUUAACACCUUUUUUUGUUCAGAUUUCAUUUAUCAGGUCUGAAUUUUUGAUCCAUGUCAAAAUGCAAAGGUCCCUAAGAGGAAUAACUGCUGCUAUGGUUAAUGUACAUUUUAGGGUCAAUUAAGAUAGCAAGACCUGUGAGUACUUUUGAGAACUGGAGGUCGGAAAGAGAGAAUGGAAACCAGGAGGCAGAGGGUUCUGUAUGGAGGAGGGGGCCAUAGCGAGGCUGAGCCUUUAGAGGGAAGCUUAUAGGCUUUUUCUUUGUUUUCAUUUUUCACAAGACCAGCCUGACCCACACGUAAGAUUUUUUUUUUCCCUAAAAUUGCUUUUAGCACUCCCUACCUAGAGUCAUUUAGUGCAGUGGUUCUCAAAGUGUGGUUCCCAGGAAAGCAGCAUCAACAUCAUGUGUUAGAAAUGCAUUCUCUGCCCCAUUUUAGGUACACUGACUCAGAAACUCUGGGGGCAGAGACCCCGCAAUCUGCUGCUACCAGCCUUCCAGGUGAUCCUCAUGCAGCUAAGACCUGUUGCAUCAUCAUGAGUUAUCUAUGUCCUUGGAACUCACACAUGACCAGUGGAAGUGCCUAUCUGGUAUUAGAAUGGAGAAUCUAAAGUGAUUUUCAUACCAAGAAAAAGUUAGGCUUUGUUCUAAACAUGCUUUUCAUGGAAGUAUAUUCAGUGGGUGAUCUAAGGUUAUGUAUGAUUACAGUGUCUUCAUAGGUGAUAAUUCCAUAGUUCCAGAAUGACUAUAAAAGGUCAUGUAUCAUUGCACAGACUCAGAAUCAUAGCUGCUGGAGCUAACUAUGGCAUUUAGCAAAACAAGAUAAAGAUGAUUCUUUUUUGUGUAUGCAAGCACGGUUGUUAUAUGGGAAGCAUGUUUCACUUGUACCGUCAUCUUCCAAAGGAAAAUCUUUGCUGAUAGUGCUGGAAUUUUCAUUUCUCUGCGCCUUACAUUAUACCAGUAGUGUCACGGCUAUGUUAAUACAUAUCCAAAAGUUGCUUUCGUUUACAUAAUCUAUAAAAUUUCUGAAAUGCAGUCUAAGUUGCUGUUAAAACCAGCAUUUCUCAGAUUCUUUCCAUUGUCCUCCAUGAGUAAUCCAAUAUACAUGGAAGGAUAAAAGAGUAAACACUUUUGUGAUAGUCCAAAUUUUUCCAGUGGAAUUUUAAACAAUUUGACAGUUCAGUCUUGUUAAAAAGUGAUAUGAAAUAAAUGCUUCUUAGCAAACAAUUGUCCAGUAAAUAUUAUAAUUCUGUCUCAUAUUCUCACAGUGGAUUGCUUUCUGAGUCUUUCAGUGGAAUUCUUUCAAAUUAGAGCUCAAUGAUCUUCUUUAUAUUUUAUCCAAGGUUUGAAGUACAUGAACCUGUCUCUACUUACUUGAACAAUGGCCUCUAUUAUGGUGUCUUUUUCUUUAAAUCCAAAUAUUAUACUCAGCAUUUUAGGAAUUCCCUAUUCCAAAUACAGGCAAUUAAAUUGUCUAUAAGUUAUUCAGAGCCCUAGAAAACGAAAUGAAAUAGGAGUUUGUACUUUGAAAUGAGUUCAAAAAUGUGUACCAUUUGUCAAUGCUAGACUCUGUCAAAUAGUCCUCAUUAUCUUCUGGUUCUGCUGUUAACAGACGAAAUAAUCUGACACAGACUUCUCUAACAAAAAUAUUUCCUUCUAGAAGUCUGGCCUUUCUCAGCAAUCAGGAUUCAAAUUCUUGACCUUGAAGAUGGGAGAGAGAACAGAAUGCUUCUUGGUGCCACUCUAAGCUGGAUGAAAUUUGAAAACAUCCCCCAGGAUGAAUAGGGGAACAUGCAUGGAAAUUUGCAUUGCUUUUAGCAAAAUCUAGGACUAAUUUGGAACGGAUAGCCUGGUACUCCAGAAUAAGAGAAAACCAAGUCUGAAACUUUGGAACCCCUGGAGAUGUUGCCUGGGGACAGGGCUCAGAUGCAAGGUUCACAUCACUGGCCAAAGAAGGCAAGAUGAUUCUGAGUUGAGACCAGAACAAAAGUGGUCAUCAUCCUUUCCUGUUCAGUGACUGUUUACCCCAACCUCUUUUGCAUUUUCCCUUUUAAUUUAGGAUCCUGAAAGUGUGAUUCUGUUCCCACCCUCUCGUAAACUUCAGUAAAACAAGGAAGUAAACAAGUGUUUAUUGAACCAACUUGAAGGAAUGAAAGAAUGGUGGUCUCCUUAAUCAUUUCAGAAUACUUGAAUAUUAACCCAAAUGAAUUUCUAAUUAGUGGACUUUGAGACAGUGUGAAGAAAGUGUCUGGGAGCAAGAGCCUCUUUCUAAGAGCAAAGGGGCUGGGGUUACAAACUCAUUUCUUUUCUCCCCAGCUGCCUCGUCCACCUCUUUCCACAUAUUAUCCUUCUUGGCAGGGAGCAGGGGGGAUAGGGUAUCCAUCAACGCCACUGUUUUCCUCUUCCAUCAGAUCACCAUUUCCUCUUCCUUGUCUGGUGCCUGAAACCCUCACUGUCUGUCUCCAUCCAUCAGUGAAAGGGUGGGAUGGCAGAAAGUGGGAAUUCCCUACUGAACACUUCUACUUAGAUAUCCUAGAGGGACUAUAAAUACCAUCCGAAAAAUAAACUCCCUACAUCCAUACCUGCUCCUUAUGUUGAAGAGCCUCUGUUAUUAUGGUAUCAUCACCCAGUUGGCCAAGUGAAGAGUUUGGAGAUACUGGGUUCCUUGGAUGGU